UCUGCACCAAUGACACUUAACCCAUGUCUGUCGUCCAGCAACCAAGACAUCCCUGCCAGUGACUCCGGCAGUAGUGAAGAUGAAGAGAUCCUGGGUUGGAGAAGUAAAGGAAGACCGGCAUCAGCUCCCAGAAGAACAACCCGGGCUACUGCUGGAAGAAACCUAAACCCACUUAACCUUCCAAGGUCCACAGUGACUAGCAACAACGCAAUGGGUGUGGUGAGGGCGGCUGCUCCCUUGGUGCCUGAAAUGGUCAAUGACCACUUGUUUAGACCCUGGUUGUGAGUAACUUGUCGUCGGGGCGAAUGUGGGAAUCUGACGUCAUUGUCACCUGACGGUGUCACCUGAUGCGGUCACAUGUUUACACGGUGACCGGGUAAACAGGAAGCCAUAAAAAGUUUGCCGUCAGUUCAAGAAAGUCUCUCUUGGCUGCCUGUCACUGGUCUUCUCCCUCUCACAAAGGGCGAGUGCAAGACGAGAUUUUGCCAUUUACGGAGGGAAACUCUCCCGACAAGCACAAGACCGGAGCUUAAUGCACACAACCGGCCCAGCUACCUGGGAUAUUAAGUGACCAUUUCCCCGGCAGGAUUAAGCUGAGUUGGAAAUCUACUCUGUGGAAGUUGCGCUCCUCUGCGGUGUAGGCCUGGGCCCGGGUGGAACGCUGCCUGCCUUCAGUGUAGGGACUGCACGGUGUGACACUUUAUUUUCUGUAUGCUAAAUAUCUCACUGUUAUUAUUUUAUAGAGAUUGUGGUUUAAAUAUUGCAUGCUUAUGUUGUUUUGGUGUGUGGCUUUUCUUGUUUUUGUCCCUCACGAUUAGCAGGCACUGCAACCCAGCGGACCGGGCCUGCCCAACUGAGGAGGGUAACUAUAUACAUGUUGAAUUAUAUUUGUAUACUUUACAUGAAUUGACAUUUUAAACAGUUUCCAAACACUUGUUAAAUAAAGCUGUUAUGUUUUUGGAA